rnacentral:pre_miRNA from 1 species
AGAUGAUUUUAUCUGUGAUGUGCUAAUUUUCAUGACAUAUCACAGACACAAUUAUCUGA